UCUCACUUUAUACUCUCUGCUACUUUAUUUAAUACAUUAAACACAACUUUCUUAAAUCAUAUGCCGAAAAGAAACACCUCAAGUAACAUGGGACGGAGGGAGUAUUAUACUUGAUUUGUUAGCUGUUUUUCUAAAUUUGUGGGCUUAAUAAUUCAAAAUAUUAGUGUACUUGAUUUGAUUAAUAUUAUUAUACUUGAUUUGUUAGCUAUUAUUAUUUGUGGGCUUAAUAAUCCAUGCAUUGUGAUCCACCAUUGAAUCCGUACCGGCACAUGGUGCACGAUGUGUGGGGACAAUCAGGUGCUCACGAGCAUUGGCAGUAUGUUCCGCCUACAUACAUGCCAGAGCCCCCAUUCAAUGAGUCGCAACAGUUCUACAAUUUGUUAGAAGCGUCUAAGUCUGAUUUGUGGGAGGGGUGUGAUUAUUCUAAGUUGUCAACAAAUGCUCGAAUAAUGACUAUGAAGUCUGAACAUCGAAUGUCUCAUUGAGUUGUUGACGAAUUGUGUCAGUUUAUAGAAGAGCGUUUGCCAAAGCCAAAUCGUAUGCCUAACAGUUUCUACAAGUGCAAGAAACAAAUGCAGAUCUAUUGGAGAGAUACAUUGUUGCAAGAAAGGGUGCAUGAUCUAUUGGAGAGAAGACGAGAAUAGGACUGAAUGCAAAGUUUGUGGUCAGGCUAGAUUCAAGGAUAAUGGUAGGAGUCCAUUCAAGAAGAUGUAUUAUUUUCCUCUGGGCCCAAGAUUAAGACGAUUGUAUGCGUCUGGAGUUACAGCUCAAUCCAUGCGAUGGCACGCAGAGCACGCCCAGACUGCUGGAGAGAGGCGUCAUCCAGCUGAUUCUAUAGCCUGGAAAACUUUCGACAAGACACAUCCCUUAUUUGCUUCUGAAUCAAGAAAUGUCAAGUUGGCACUUAGCACAGAUGGAUUUCAGCCAUUCGGCCAAAGUGGUUCACAAUACUCAUUAUGAGCUCAACGAUUUAUGGGCUGAAGGAAUUCCAGCAUACGAUAUAUCAAGAAAACAAAACUUCUAGUUGCGUGUAGCACUAAUGUGGACUUUCAGCGACUUCCCCGCAUAUUCAAUGUUAUCAGGAUGGAGUUCAUAUUGGCACCGUGCAUGUCCGUAUUGUAUGGAGGACUCACAAGCUUUUUCCUUGAAGCAUGAACAGAAAACUACUUGGUUUGAUUGUCACAGGAGGUUUCUCAAUAGAAAUCACCGAUUCCGCAAAGAUAAAAAGAAUUUCAUAAAGAACAUAACCGAACAUUCCGGUCCUCCUUCGAUCUUAAACGGAGAAGAGAUACUUGAUAACUUGGAACAAUUUGAGUGCAAGAGAGUGUUUGAUGAAGGUGCAGAAACAGCAAACUCCGAGUUGAGCAAGAUUUUUGGAUGGAAUAAAUGAAGCAUAUUUUGGGAUCUUUCGUAUUGGAAGACAAAUGUGAUUUGUCACAAUCUGGAUGUCAUGCACAUAGAAAAAAAUAUUUUUGACAAUAUCUUCAAUACCAUCAUGAAUGUGGAAGGCAAGACGAAAGAUAAUGCUAAUGCAAGAAGAGAUUUGGAAGAACUUGGUAUACGGCCUGAACUUUGGCCAUGUGACGGGUAAUAUCACAAGGCUAAUUUCACACUUGAUAAAGAAAGUACGAAAUUAUUGCUCAAGUGGCUCAACAUUUUGAAAUUCCCCGAUGGUUAUGUUUCUAACUUGUCAAGAUGCAUUGAUAUGAAGAAACACAAGUUGUACGGUAUGAAAAGCCAUGACUGUCAUGUGUUUAUGCAACUAUUGCUACCAAUUGGACUUCGUGAGUUACUUCCACACGGUGUAUGGGAGCCUCUAAUAGAGUUGAGCAAUUUCUUUAGGGAUCUUAUUGCUACAGUGAUACGAGAGGCUGAUAUGACAAAGUACAUGAGUCGAUUGUGGCUACCUUGUGCAAGCUUGAGAUGAUAUUUCCUCCGUCUUUCUUUGACUCCAUGGAGCAUCUUCCAGUCCACUUAGCAUAUGAGGCAUUGAUCGCAGGACAGGUGCAAUUCCGAGAGAUGCUCGAAAAACCGUAAACAGGGAUAUGAGAAAGCCCCUGGCACACUUUGUAACGGAUGUGUCUCAUUUGAUGUGACUGUGGAAAAAAUGAUUAAAGAGAAUAAUGGGAAGAUGCCUAACUUUGUAGAAUUUUAUAAAAGGGUUCACACGCUAAGGAGCAAAGAUUCACAGGGAGAGUUGUGUUCGCAGCGCGCCAUAGAAAAAAAUGGAGCAAGUUAUGGCAAGAGCCAGGGGAAGUAGAUCCAGAUUUAGAUCGCAUUUACCUUGACCUUUUUGGGAAGAAUAUGAACAGACAACAAAUUCCCGGAGCCGGACAGGCAACAAGCAUUUAUUUCCCUAAUGCUAGUAGUUCGUCCACUGGGGGCUCGGGCGUUAGCAAGGAAGAGUUACAAGCAAUGCGAGAGCAAAUCACUAUUGAGGUGUGUGGGGAGAUGGAGCAGCGAAAUGAGGCGUCGCGCGCGGAGUUGGAGAGGCAAAAUGCGGCGUCGCGCUGAGUUAGCGAGGUAAAAGGUGGAGUUACGCGCAGAAUUUGCGAAAGAAAAUGAGAGGGUAUUAGAACAAUUGUUUACCCUUAGUGAAAAGGUUAGUUUAGAAUUUUGAUACCUUUUCAUUCUCGCUGCAUUAUUAUUUUUAUUUAAUAAAUU